GGAACGCCGUGCCCAGUGGCUUAUCGCGACACUGGUGGCCGUACAGACUGCUCUUCACCCUGGUGCAGCCAUUCACCAAGACGCUGCAACAGGCAUGUGCGAGCAGUGUGUUCUGUGCAGCGAGCAAUGACCUGGCGCGUUACGGUGGGGUGUACGUCAACAACUGUGUCCCCUGCAUGCCCUCCGCCCCCUCCAUGGACACAAUCCUCGGCCUCAGACUGUGGGUCACCUCACUGAAGAUGAUUGAGGGAGUGUUGGGUCAGCGCGCCUUCAGUGUGUGUCUUGGGGGGGAGGUUAGGUUAGGUUAGGUUAAGUAUUGUCAGGUUAGCUUGGGUUAGGUUAGGUGAGGUUAGGUCUUGAAUCAGUUUGCCUGUGAGGGGGGGUGGGGAGCUGGCCUUAUUUAUUUCUAGUAGUCUCUUGUGUUAUUAUUAUUUCUGUUUGAUGUGUUCUGUCACGGCAAAUGUGUGUUUACAAGGCUGUUUUUGUUGCCAGUACUGUAGAAAUAGUGUUAGUCUGUUGCUAGAACCUUAAAAGCACCCUUCAAAACCUUUAUAACUUCAAUUAGAGCCUUUUAAAGAGUGUGUCUCAUAUUAAUGAUGCAGAAAUGGUGUUAAUCUGUCACUAGAACCCUUCAAAGCCUUUAUAACUUCAAUUAGAGGCUUUCAAAGAGUGUAAAUCAUAUUAAUCUGUCACUAGAACCUUAAAAAACCCUUAAAAAUCUUUGUCAUUUCAACUAGUUCCUUUUAAAGAGUGUUUCUCAUAUUAAUGAUGCAGAAAUAGUGUUAAUCUGUCACUAGAACCUUGAUAACACCCUUAAAAACCUUUAUAACUUCAAUUGGAGCCUUUGAAAGAGUGUUUCCAUGUUAAUCUGUCAGUAGAACCUUAAAACUCUCUGUCACUUCAACUAGAGUCUUUCUAAAUGUGAAUAAUGUAAGUAUCAUGUUAAUCUGUCACUGUAACUUUAAAAACACCUUUAAAAUCCUGUGUCACUUCGAUUAGAGCCUUUUAAAGACUUUCUUAUGUAUGUAUCAUGUUAAUUUGUCACUAGAUCCUUAAAAACACCCUUAAAAAUCUGUGUCACUUCAACUACAUCCUUUCAAAGAGUGUUUUCAAUGCUAAUAUUGCUUAAAUGGUGUUAAUCUGUCACUAGAACCUUAAAAAAACACCCUUAAAACUGUCACUUCAAGUAGAGCCUUUUAAAGAGUGUUUCUCAUAUUAAUACUGCAGAAAUGGUGUUAAUAUGUCACUAGAACCACAAAAACAUCCUUAAAACCCUUUCACUUCAACUGGAGCCUUUUGAAGAGUGUUUUUACUGAUAAUAAUAUGUAAAUCAUGUAAGUCUGUCAGUACAAUCGUGAACCAACAUGUGUGGAGAUUUUAUUUUAUUUUAUUUUUUAUUUUAUUGUCGUUUUAAAGUUAAUAAAACUAUUUAUUUUGUGUAUAUUCACUCAGUCAGUCAUUCACUCCAUAUUAAGUAAUUUUCAAUGUCAGCGUGAAUUUAAACCUUAUAGCCAAAGAAAAUAAAGAUGAUAAUACAAUA